rnacentral:lncRNA from 1 species
CUCCAUUAACAAACUUCUACAGAAUGUGAUAACAAACUCCCAAUAUCUUCUCACAAUAAUUCAACUACACAGUAUUUCAAUUAUAUAAUCAAUAACUCAUAAAUCAAUCUCUGAUUUAUUCCACAGAUUUACUUCACAGUAUUCAGAAACUAUCAUUAUUCUUCAACAACAAAGAAACAAAGAAGUAGCACCAAACUUACCCCGACUCAUGACUAUCACAGUGUGGCCCUUAGACUAACUUCUACAAUUCUUAUAUAUAUACUCUUUAUUCCUAGAUUCUAACCGCAAUCCUAUAAUUAAUUACUUUUAAUAAUUAAGUUAACCAUCUGUCUUUUUGAAUUGACUAUUCUAUGGACUAUUAGUUUAUUUUAUCAAUAUCUUACAGAAACAAAUUAAUAUAUAUUCUACAUAAUUUCACUCCUAUCU